rnacentral:lncRNA from 1 species
CGAAGAUGAAAUAUUCUAAAGAGCUGGUUCAGGACACUUUCACUCUGAGAAAACAGGGGAGAGACAAUAUUCCUUGAGGGAAUAACUCUAGAUUUUUCUUUGUUUUCAGGAGUCGGGAGCAACUGAUCUUGAAGGACUUAAACUGAUAUUAGCCUGAAUCUGAGUGUGGUAGAGUUGCAUUUCUAAACCAGAAGUAGAAAGGAAACACUCCGCCUGAUAUUUAGGCCACAAUAAGCCGAGGAGGAAUACCUUGAUGAGAAUGAGGACUAGAGAGGAGGAGUCUUACCGGUGGGAAAGGGCCCUACGACUAAACGCCGGGGGCGAACCCGAUGAGGAGCGGCCCAGGAACGGCAAGAAAUUCAAAAGUUUACUAUUAGAGGUAAAGAAAAAUAUAUAGGAUUUAGAUAAAGUAGAUCUCAGACUAUUAAGGAAAACUUUGAUAAAAGUGCCUGAGAGCGUUUUAGAGCGUCUUUAAUUUUUAGUUUAGUUACGUUCUUGAUUCAAGAAACCAACUUCUACCUCCCUAGACUAACAUCCUAAUCCUCAAUUUCCUUUUGAAAACCCGAAAACUCAAUUAUGAUAUUUGGGGUCGGGCAUUCAGAUAUUUCGGUUCAGAAAUCAGAACUUCCGGUUGUUCAGUUUGAGGAAGAUGAUGCUGACUAAACCGAAACAAACUUGGUUCAGAAGUGACAAACUUCGGUUCUAUUAGAUUCAGUUCUGACUUAAGUUCAGUUUGGUUUUAGUUAAAACUACUGUUGCCAGAUUGGAACCGAAAUUUUUUUUCAGAUAUGGUUUAUGUGACAAAUUUACCGACUCAAUCUAAUUUUAAUAGGGUUCUAAUUUUCAACAAAUGGGUUGAGAAGAUAAAUUCCAUAAAUAUUGUUAGUCCAGAUUUUAGGUGUCAAUAUCAACUAUAAACUUUCGUUUAGUUAAGUCGAAGCUAGAGUGCAAUUAAUAUAUACACAUUUAAUAUUGUAAAUUCAUGAGUUUCAAGGAAGAGUAGAGAAACAAUAAGCAUAUAACUUCGAAGUUCAAACUAAAAAGCUUUAAUAAUUUUGUUCAAAGAUGGGUAAUCUAAUCUUUCGAUAGCUUGAGAGUUGAGAAUUGAUCACUCAUAUUUUGUACGUAUACACUUGAUGCUAUCACUACGAUUCUACGAACAUCAAAGAACAACAACAUGUACUAUACAUAAUACAUGUUCUGAGUUCGAGUAGAGUUUUGACAAAAAAGACCGCAACUACUACCGGUCUCUUAAAAAAUUUCAAAUUUACAGACACAUAAGAGGUACAAUCACACAGAAAGUUUAUUAGGAUCAAGAGUAUUUAAAAAAUUGUUUAAGAAUGGAAAGAGAUGAUUAUACAAAGGGGGAUAUUUUAUUUAUAUGGAAUACUCACAAAUUACAAUGACACUCAAAGUUUUCUCUCAAACUCGAUUACAGGACUUGGCUUGAUUUAUGCAAGCACCCAAGCCUCUUAUUUAUAAUGAUACAAUGGAUACAUAACUUAAGAUUAUUACACACGUGGAUACUAACUUAGAGCUAUUUAGCAUGUGGAUACCUAACUUCCUCAUGCAUAAAUAUUUUAUUCUUUUCUUAUUUAACAUAUGGAUUAUGAUGCUUUACUUAUUCAACAUGUGCAUCAUUAUUUAUUAUUAUCCCCCCUACCUCCAAAAGAGAGAUAGAUUCUCCCUUAUCCGAAGUCUGAAUCCUCGUCGUCUUCUUUGCUGUCAGAAACUAUCUUCGUUAUGAAGAUUUUGUGGCCCGGGAUAUACCUUUUGAUUGUGUACUUCUUUCCUUCAACUCUGUAGAUUGGAUGGUCAGGAUCAUCUUGUGGCCACGCGUACUGAUCAUGGAAGCUUGCUAGACUUUGUCGUAUUUCAUCAAUAAAGUCAUGUGGAUAAGCAUCCUUGUUGUGCCAGUUUGCAGUGUGAGGACAAAAUAACUGUGGGUCAAUUUCAGAUUCUUCAAUGUGAUUUAUCGCUGCC